CGGCGAUUGAGAAAGAGAAUACAGAUGGGAGAAGGGGGCUGAGCAAAGCUUCCAGAAAUCUAUGGUGAGAUUGUAGGAGGAGACUCCGCCAUUUUGGAUGCUGGCGGGAGUCGUCGCAAGCCCUUUACUGUCAGGUCCUGGUCCACAGCUUGUCCAUUCCUUCACAACUGGAUGAGCAACCUCAGAAUUCUCCCCUCAAAACAUGGAGAGUCUGCUCCCUGACAGGCAUAUCUUAUAAAGGCUUAGCAAAGAGGGUUAAUCUCUUUGAUCAUUUCACAAAGAGCGAACAUUUGAUGCUAUAAUAAAGACAUAAAAAGUGUGGCUCUUAUUUUGAGGCAGUGCAAUAUGGACAAUGCCUGUGUACACAUUCCUAAAAGAGCUACAAUUCCCAGCAGCCUUAAGAAACUAUGGUUCCCAAUAUACUUGGGACAGGGGGAGUCAAGUGCUUUAAAUUGUGUUGAAGCCACAUUCAAAAUCUGGACACAUCUUAGAGUAAACGCAUCUCUCUUGCUUUGCGUUACACUGUAAGCAAAGGGAUGUGGUUGUGGCAACUAUAUUGUCUUACUGUUCACUAAAGCAUUUGAUCUAA